GACGAACGCUGGCGGCGUGCUUAACACAUGCAAGUCGAACGGUGAAGCGCUUUCCUUUUUGGUUGGUGUGGAUGAGCGGCGAACGGGUGAGUAACACGUGAGUAACCUGCCCCCUUCUUCUGGAUAACCGCAUGAAAGUGUGGCUAAUACGGGAUAUUCUGCGCCUGCUGCAUGGUGGGUGUGGGAAAGAUUGUGCCUUUGGGUGUUUUCGGUGGGGGAUGGGCUCGCGGCCUAUCAGCUUGUUGGUGGGGUGAUGGCCUACCAAGGCGGUGACGGGUAGCCGGCCUGAGAGGGUGGACGGUCACACUGGGACUGAGACACGGCCCAGACUCCUACGGGAGGCAGCAGUGGGGAAUAUUGCACAAUGGGCGCAAGCCUGAUGCAGCGACGCCGCGUGAGGGAUGGAGGCCUUCGGGUUGUGAACCUCUUUCGCCAGUGAAGCAGGCCUGCUCCUUGUGGGUGGGUUGACGGUAGCUGGAUAAGAAGCGCCGGCUAACUACGUG
rnacentral:rRNA from 1 species